UUAUUUUAAUAUUAUAGAUAUUUGCUAUAUAAUAUUACUGUUGGUUUUCCAACUACGACGAUAAACGAAUUUCGUAAUAAGCAUUGCGGACGUGGGGGCAGUACCCACCACCUCCACCAUUUACAACUUAAGGGGGUGAACUAGGAUCGACGGAUGUCUAAAAGCUAUUCUUUCGUUCGGGAUUGUUCCACCGUGACGGGCUAAAUUAUAAUUGCAAAUGAUAAAUUUGCUCUCGCUGCUUAAUUAACUUGUUAAUUAAAUAAGCGCGGUAUUGGGGCACCGGGCAACAGAACGCCCCUACA
rnacentral:tmRNA from 1 species